rnacentral:rRNA from 1 species
CCUACGGGUGGCAGCAGUGGGGAAUAUUGGGCAAUGGGCGCAAGCCUGACCCAGCAACGCCGCGUGAAGGAAGAAGCCUUUCGGGUUGUAAACUUCUUUUGUCAGGGACGAAGAAAGUGACGGUACCUGACGAAUAAGCCACGGCUAACUACGUGCCAGCAGCCGCGGUAAUACGUAGGUGGCAAGCGUUAUCCGGAUUUACUGGGUGUAAAGGGCGUGUAGGCGGGAUUGCAAGUCAGAUGUGAAAUCCCAGGGCUCAACCUUUGACCUGCAUUUGAAACUGUAGUUCUUGAGUGAUGGAGAGGCAGACGGAAUUCCUAGUGUAGCGGUGAAAUGCGUAGAUAUUAGGAGGAACACCAGUGGCGAAGGCGGUCUGCUGGACAUUAACUGACGCUGAGGCGCGAAAGCGUGGGGAGCAAACAGGAUUAGAUACCCCUGUAGUC